UGAUGUUUUUGGAGACAAGUACGCUGAUGAGAGAAUGUGGAAGAGGCUUUUGUACAGUGUGCAAGAAAAAUACUUAACAAAAUUGAAUAAGUGGGCCCAGUGAGCUGCAGGAGGAUGCAGGGACUGCAGGGCUGUCACAGGCACUGACGGAGCAGGGUUUCCCUCCUGGUGGUGCUGACCUGUCUGACUGCCGAGAGCCGAUCAGAAGCGCCGCCUCCCUGUCUGCCGAGCCUGAGGUCCAGUCUGUUCUGGAUGGAGCAGGGCCCUGAGCUGAGGCCACACCCUGAGAACUCAGAACUGAGGGAGCAGAUGGAGGAAGGGGAGCCGGCAGGUUGGGGGAUGAGAAUGACCGAAACAAGGACACGGGAACGGUGGUGCAGGUGGACACACACGGGGUGAGAAUGAGGACAAAUUGGGUUUAGAGAUCAGGAGUCACUGAGAGACGCCUGUCAUCACCCAAACCCUCCAGGGCCAGCCUGGACAGAGCAGUGGGGAUGGGAGAGGAGCUCAGGGCACUGGGGUCCUAGGCACCUGGCCAAGGACACCCACAGGCUGGACUCAGAGCUGGUUCACACUGAGGGAAGCACCAACCCCAAGAGGAGGAAGAAGUGACCGUGAGACCCUGCCCAGCUCCAGCAGCCUCGUCCUUGGGGCUGCCCUGGCAGUGGACGCCCUCCAGGUCAGGGUGGGCUGAGCAGGAGAAGGGUGGACAUGCUGCUCUAGGCCAGUGACCCGGGGACAGGGGACCCUUGCACAUGAAGUAGUGACACUUGGCUAUUCUCUGUGCCUUUCAGUUGAGAAAGGUCUGGUGGCAGCCCAGGGGCCGGGCGGAGAGGUCACAGACACGUCAUCCCCAUGACGCAGUGAACAGGAAGGGAAUUCCUGAGAGCAGUCCCGGUGUCACCAGACCCCCACAGGGGACUGUCCCUGAGUUCUGAUACUGUAGGGCAGGGGUCUCUCUACAGAAGGAGACGUGCAGCUCCCUGGCAGGAAGGAGGGUGUCUCUCACAGAACACUCAGGGAAGGAGUGUAGACGGGGUGCUGGAGUCAGAAACCACUUUUAUUCAGUCACUGACGACCACUGCGGGGAGCCCCCUGGUGCCGGGCCUGAGUGGGAACCGUGAACACGGAGUUGGUGAAACUGUGUCCCAGCAUCCACGGAGCUCUCAGACCGCUGGUGGGCCCUGGGUGACAACACUCCUGACCUCCCAGGACACCACCAGCAUCUGCCUCCAGGUCGUGUCAAGGUCAACAGAGCCAAGGUCUCCAGGGGGAACUGCUGACUCCGUCAUGGCCACCUGGAGACACCAUGAGGCCAGUUUAGUGGGACCCUCAAGUCCAUGUCUGCCAGAAAGGUGACGCUGGUCCCUGUUCUUGUGGAUCAUAUCUAGAUUGUAGCAGUAAGAAGAGAAGCAGCGCAGUGACAGACUGGAAAUCCUUGCACGAUGUCUGGUUGGGCAACGGGUCUCUACAAAGGUCAAGAACCUGCUCAGAAAGUGACGCUUUGCGGAACACACGGAUGAGCCGGGUCCAGUGUCCUGUGGUGGGAGACACCUGACUGCAUCUCGCAGCACCUGGUGACUUCAGGAGCAAAACCACUCUCCACUUGCCCCAAAUGGUGGCCCUGUACACCAGAUCAGAAGGUCUUUAAUGCAGCAAAUAAGCUGGGAAAAUGGCUCUGCUUCUACGGCCAAGGAAUGACAUGGGUCUCCUGGGGAUGACACAGCAGGAAGCAGAUGGAACUUAGCACAGUGGCCACAAUACAGCACAUGAACUGGCUGCCUGCUGUGGAGCUGUGAGUGAGCUGCUUAGAGAAACAGAAAUAUUAUCUUUUCAAAAACUGUGUUUGGUUGAAAUGGGGACCCAGUGGCCACUGGGGCUUAACAUACAUCUCAUAACUGACAUCAUCCACAGUGUAGUGUAGGGGUGUUUUAGGGUGGAGGGAGACACUGUCAAACGUGGCCGAGCAGUCCUCCUUCCUUCACUCUGACAUGAACGCUCGGGGCCCACGAUGACAUGAGUUCCUCCCUCAACUCAGGCAGGUCCAGCAGGUGAACUGCAGAGACCUGGGCCACAGGGCGUCUCCCAGGUGUCAGGCUCACCAGACCUGGGUGGGACUGGAAGCCAAGAAUGUGAGGAGGUGGCGCAGGGGUCCCUCUCCCCUGCCUGCCUGUCCCUCUCAGCUCAGCCUCACCUGCUGUGUCCCUAAACCACAUUGCAUGUGGGCACCAUGGAGGCUCAUCACCCCAGCCAGAGUCAUGACCUUGACCUUCCCAUGUUCAGUUAGUGGAACACAACCACAGCUCAACCGUUUCAGGUCAACACACAGAGCUACAGAACAAGGUUUCAUAAAGGUGCUCUGGAUCCUUGUCCUGUGCAGCAUGUGAAUGAAAUGACCAAAAAUGUAAAACCUGCCAUGAGGUUGACAAGUCUUUUCAAUAGAGAUGGUCACGUCAUGUAUUCAAGCACCUGCACAUGAACUAGUUUAAUCACUGUGACGGCUGGGAAAGGGAACACAAGGAAGUAGAAAGAAAUCCAUUAGCAGCAAAUAUGAAGUUUAAUGUUCAGUGAGAGGAAGUAACAACCCAAAGCACCCCACACACGGGAGGACAUAGGUGGUGGGAGGUCACACGUGACGCAGGUACAAGGAGAGACACAGCCCCCUGUGAGACGACUGAAGCCAACGUAACCCUGGAAUGCAGCAGGGACACUCAGACAGGACAGAAUUUUGUUCUAUACUUUCUAAUGGAUUUGGAGGGAUGGGAGAAGAUGCAGAGAAGAAAGUCACGAGAGAUUUACAUUUUUACAUCGCAAAAGUUUGACGUUAUUUAAUUUAGGAAAAGUCGUAAGAUCUGUUUUCAUGGUAAAGAAAUGGUUGGGUGACUACACAACCAUGAAGGAAAUAAAACUGGGGGGGAAACUGUUCCUACCUAGAUAUUUCCAUACAGACAUGGGAAUGGACAAGAGGAAACGUGCUGAGAUUUACUGAGAAAUGAAGGGGUCUGUGGCAUGAGCACGUGUCUACACCACUCUGGAGCAUGGCUGCUCAGGGGGUGUCCCCAUCAGUGGUGUCCCCUUUAGGCCAGACCACCUGGCUUGUGCAUCGGCAUGGCCCAGGCACCUGGGGGGCAGGGCUCCUAACAUUCCGUGCACCCGCACAGAAUUCUAUUAUGGCGACUGAAGACCGUUACGUGGCUCGCUGAGCUCCACUGGCUCACUUUUCUUGGGCUCUGAGCUAUAGUCAGUGACUUCAGCUCUGAGCUCCGGCGUCCUGAGCCUAAUUGACUACAAAGUGAAGGACUGUUGAGUGCUGUGGGGUGUGGAUCACGUUUUUCCAAUAGUAAGUGAAGAAGUCCAGUGUUGGUCCUCCCUCAGUCCUGAUGAAACCUAUUGGAUUUGAUUUGUUGUUCACCCACCGUGUGUUUGGGUUUCUUC